AUGGGCACAAGGCUCCUCCGCUAUGUGGCUCUUUGUCUCCUGGGAGCAGGGCCCAUGGAUGCUGGUAUUAUCCAGAUCCCAAGGAAUAUAAUCACAAAGACGGGAAAGAGUAAUAUACUGGAAUGUUCUCAGACUAUGGGUCACAACAGGAUGUACUGGUACCGACAAGACCCAGGACUGGGGCUACGGCUGAUCUACUACUCCCUUGAUGUCAAUGACAUUUACGAAGGAGAGGUCUCCAAUGGGUACAGUGUCUCUCGAAAGGAGCAGCCUAAAUUCUCUCUGUCCCUGAAGGUCGCCACCCCCAACCAGACAGCUCUUUAUUUCUGUGCCAGCAGUGAGUCACACAGUGCUUCUUGGCCACCUGCUCUCUACACAGAAAGACAGGCGUGUGGGUGA